GGUGGGGUGGCAGAGUGGUCGAAUGCGCCGGUCUUGAAAACCGGUAACGGCGUCAGUCGUUCAGGGGUUCGAAUCCCCUCCCCACCG
rnacentral:tRNA from 1 species